rnacentral:rRNA from 1 species
GAUGAACGCUGGCGGCGUGCCUAAUACAUGCAAGUCGAGCGAAGAGACGCGUUGCUUGCUGGUGUGAGUUUAGCGGUGGACAAGGGAGUAAUACGUGGUGAACCUACUGACACGAUCGGGAUGAUUUCGGGAAACAGGAGCGGCUACCGGGUAAUAUUCUGAAUCUCUCGGUUGAAGAGUGUAAGAAGGUUUUGGUGUCACUGAUGGAUGGGUCCGCGGCGCAUUAGCUUGUUGGUGGGGUAAUGGCGUACCAAGGCUACGAUGAGUAGCCGACCUGAGAGGGUGGUGGGCCACACUGAAAGGGCGACACGGUCGAGACGCCUACGGGGGGAGGCAGUAGGGAAGAUUCCGGAAUGAUGGAAAGCAGGACGGUGCAGCGCCGCGGGAGUGAUGAUGGUCGUCGGCUCGUAAAACUCUGUUAUUGGGGGAGAACAAAGGCUUAAGUGACUGUGCACGGCUUGACGGUACCUAAACAGAAAGCCACGGCUAACUACGUG